rnacentral:ncRNA from 2 species
UUUUGAUCCUGGCUCAGUGCGGCUGGAUCACCUCCUUAGAGUUUGAUCCUGGCUCAGGACGAACGCUGGCGGCGUGCCUAAUACAUGCAAGUCGAGCGGAUUGUUCCUUCGGGAACAGUUAGCGGCGGACGGGUGAGUAACACGUAGGCAACCUGCCUACAGGAUCGGGAUAACUACCGGAAACGGUAGCUAAGACCGGAUACAAGACUUUGACGCAUGUCGGAGUUUGGAAACACGGAGCAAUCUGUGACCUGUAGAUGGGCCUGCGGCGCAUUAGCUAGUUGGUGAGGUAACGGCUCACCAAGGCGACGAUGCGUAGCCGACCUGAGAGGGUGAACGGCCACACUGGGACUGAGACACGGCCCAGACUCCUACGGGAGGCAGCAGUAGGGAAUCUUCCGCAAUGGACGCAAGUCUGACGGAGCAACGCCGCGUGAGUGAUGAAGGUUUUCGGAUCGUAAAGCUCUGUUGCCAGGGAAGAAAGGCCAGGAGAGUAACUGCUCCUGGAUUGACGGUACCUGAGAAGAAAGCCCCGGCUAACUGCGUGCCAGCAGCCGCGGUAAUACGUAGGGGGCAAGCGUUGUCCGGAAUUAUUGGGCGUAAAGCGCGCGCAGGCGGUCAUUUAAGUUUGGUGUUUAAUUCCGGGGCUCAACCCCGGGUCGCAUCGAAAACUGGGUGACUGGAGUGCGGGAGAGGAAAGUGGGAAUUCCACGUGUAGCGGUGRAAAUGCGUAGAGAUGUGGAGGAACACCAGUGGCGAAGGCGACUUUCUGGACCGUAACUGACGCUGAGG